AGCAACUUGGCGCAGUGGAAGCGCGGUAUGUUUAUCUCAAGCGUCUCAUAGUGACUCUUUACUAACGCACACAUAGCCGGGCUCAUAACCCGGAGGUCGCUCGAUCGAAACGAGUAGUUGCUA
rnacentral:tRNA from 1 species